rnacentral:lncRNA from 1 species
GGGUUCUUCCCUCCCCCCCAUUUUGUGCAUUGUUCACAUUCUGCAUGAUCUGUUUGCUGAUGGCUCUUCAAUAAAAGCCUUUCUAAGAAAAUUGUUUGCAGGACAAACUAUUGAAAGCCCAGAAUGCAGCUUUCCCCUCGGAGCAGCGCGGAGCCUGAUGCUGAGCUCACCCAGCCAGGUGCACUGGCCUUUCUUGUAAGGCUUCCAAACUGCCCUGAUUCAUGGCACAGCAUAUUUGACAUUAAUAAAUGGCUGGGGCAGUCCCCUCAUCUUCCAGCUUUGGCUUCAUUCACACUGAAGCCCUUUUUCAGAAAGGAGUCUUUGCAGUUUAAAGGAUGACUCCAUUUCGGAAAGACUCAGGCAAAGCUUCUUGUCCUCAGGCUCCUAAAAUUCCAGUUCUAUGGAAAAGUUCUCUCAGCUUUGAUGAUAUGCCUGAUAGUUGAGUAUUUUCCUAAGACAUCACGUAGCCUUUUCUGUUUCCAGCCUCUUCCCAUCCUCUGGGAACAAAGAGAACCCAACAUUGAAAUCUUAUCUUUUAAAACCCUCCUGUGCAUCUUCUUUCCAACCAAGUUCCUGGCAUUCCCUUGCCGUGUGUUCUCCAAUCAGAACCUCUCAUACUCCUGAGGAAGGUAAUUGCUACAGAGAAAAAGACCAGAGAACUACAGAGGGAAAAGGAAGAGUUAUGUAGAAUUUGCCUGAAACCUGUUGACUGAAAGCUGUUGGUAAUCCCUUUUCCAGUGGUUCUGAUUCUUGUUCUCUGCUGUGAAUGUGCUCCAGUCUCUCACUUGUGUGCUUUAUAACAACAUGGUGGCUUGAAUUUUUUCUUUAAACCAAUAGAAAAUAUCAUUUUCUUAAUCAAGGGGGUUACAGUCAAGUUUUUAGAAGUACCAUUGUAUCAUAUGAGGUGUUAUUUGCUGUGUGGAGAUGUCCUGGUUCACUGAAAGGCAAGGGAUGGAAUCUGCAACAGCAAAUGUGAGUUUGGGGAUCACAGAUGGUUUAACUGAGCAAGCAAGAGCCUGGUCCCGCUGCUCCCACUGAUUGCUCAGGGUGUUACUGCAAAUUCUGGGAUGAAUAUUUCCAUGUUGUAUGGGGAAAGGUGUGGGGAUAUUCAUGUGUUGGGCUGCAAAUGGUGCGAACUAACAGCUACUGUGUGUUGUGGAUCAGCUUGUCUCCUCCUCUCUCCCCUGCUGCCUAACUUACUGCCUCAGGAAACAGCAGCUUCUCUGUUGUCUGGAAAACACUUUUGUUUCAAUCAGCAGAAGUCAUUUAAACUUGUACUCCUCUCUCCUUUCUUCUUUCACUCCUUCCAGAAGGAGAAAAAAAAUUGCCUUUAAUAAAACUUCAAGCCGUGCGAUUUGAAACUGUGAGAAGUAACAUUUAAACCCCAAAGUUAUUCAGUGUGGUUUUGUUUGGGGGUUUUUUGUUUGUUUGUUAAAAAUCUUACUAUUCCUUUCAGUUUCUAUCUGUGAGGCUGAUUCAAGUGUGUUUUGGAUCAGGUUCUUACUGCUUGGACCACCUUAGGAAUUAAGUGAUUGGCUUUCUGUUAUUUUUAAUUGCUCUUUCUUUGUCUUUCCUUCUUUCCCUUCAAGUUGAGUAGUUGAAACUUUAGCUCUUAUUUAUCUUAAGCAUUCAGAAUUGACUUAUAACCGGUAUACACACCUCUCUGCUACUGAGGGACCGUCUGUGGUGUUUGGCUACCUCACCUAAAUCCUAGCUCUCCUGCUUGUUUCAUGCAGGUAGGAACAAACUGGGCCAUGGGAAAUGGCUGAUUUCCCCUUCCAGGUGUAUUAUGAUGGGCCACACUUCAUCUCAGGCUUAGGUAUCAUAGAAUAGAUAGGGUUGGAAAGGACCUUAAGAUCAUCUAGUAUGUCCUUGCCAUGUGUCAUAAAUGAUUGUAAUGAUGUUUCCUACUCGUUGGGGAAAAUGCAGAAGGAAAAAGAAUUAAUGAUUCCUCAAAGGAUGGAUCUUACUGGUGAAACUGCAGUUUGUAUCAAUAAAAAUGCAUUCAAAUAA